rnacentral:tRNA from 1 species
UGUGGUUAAAUUAGCAAACACCUCCCUUACACUGAGAAGAUAUCCGUGCAAUUCGGAUCAUUUUGAACCUUAA